UUUUUUUUUUUUUUGGCUUUGGGUCUUGCUUUGUUUGGUGGAAGGAGUAACAGAAAAUUACAUCUCCAAGCCUCAGUUUCUAAAUCUAUAAAAUGGGAAUAAUAUGACCUACCAGGUAAGACCUUUUCUUGUGAUUACUAAAGAAACAUGACCUGCACUGAAUGAGGUGCAAAAUGCAGAAUCCAAAAUAGACAGUUGGCGGUUUUACUGCACCAUUUUUAAGUGAAAAAAAGAAGCAAGAAUAACAGCAACACUACUUAAUGCUAAAUUUGAAGAAUUUAUAACUCAAGGAACAUCGAGAGUCACGUGGAAGGUACCGAUACUAACCCUUUAGUAAGAGAUGGAGAAGUGAAAGAUUGCGGUCCAUUUUUUGCUCACUGAUACCCCCUCCUUACUAGUUUUUUUUCCUACCUGUGAAGACGUUUUGAACAGAAGCUAAGCUAACAUGAUCCCACGUCGCUCUGCUUGAAUCUGCCCAAAUAAGGAAGCAGUGCCCAGAGUGUCAGGUGCCUGGAGUCUAUGAACCGCAGAGAUCAGAACAACUGGGAAAACGCCGACUCACACUCUUAAUGACUCACCCUCUGAAGGGAGCCUGGAGAGCUACAUUUUUAAGAAGCCAACCACGGUUCCCCAGCACAGUAAAGUUUGGCAAAUACGAAUCUCUAUCAGGGUCUCCAGACAGGGAGUGUCCCAGGAGAGCACACAAAGAAAACAGUCACGUUUCCGUCUUCAGAGUUACUUUUAUUUCUUUUCUUCUCUUCUCUUUUGCUUUUUAGGGCCACACAUGCGGCAUAAGGAAGUCCCCAGGCCUACGCCACAGCCACAGCCACACCAGAGCCAAGCCACAUCUGCAACUUCAACCACUGCUCACGGCAACGCUGGAUCCUUAACCACUGAGAGAGGCCAGGGAUCGAACGCGCAUCCUCAGGGAUACUAGGCGGGUUCAUUACCGCUGAGCCACGACAGGAGCUCCUCUUCUAUUUUUAAAAUCAAUUUUUUGCACGUUGCAUGCUGGCCAUAAUCCAUUAUACAAUAAUAUAAAUGUAUUUUUAUCUGUAUCAUGUACUUUUAAAAAAUGAGUGUGUACAUAUACAAUGUCUAUGUAUCUACACACACACACACACACACACACACACAACACAUACAUGUUCAAAACAGUCUGGAGACCAAUCUGGAAUACUGACUCCUUGGGGAGUAGGUCUCUUAGCUUACCUUCUCUGGCUUCUGUCUUCCCGAGCUUUUGGCAGGAGAACAAUAGCAAAUCCCUCAAGAAGAGAGUCUAGGUUUCUGUGUCAUGGCUCAAAGGGGAGCCACAUGCUGCAGGUGCCAGGAGUCAGUGCCCUAGCCGAAGGCAGCUAUGGAUUUCACUUUCAAAGGCUCAUGUAUGUUCUUGUUCAUGCCCUUUGCCCAAACACGAGCUAUGCCAAGUGAGGCAUAUGCCUUCUCCAAUACCGCCCGCUCUGUGUCGAGUCCUAUGUUUAAGCAAGCUAAUAAACUCAUCAAUUCCUUCAUUCAAUGAAUAUUUAUGGAGUGUCUAAUAGAUCUGCUAUCGUUCUUGGCACUGGGACUCAGCAGUAAGCAAGGAAGAUGAAGUCCUGCCACUCAUGACCUUACUUUCUUACGGGGAUAGCAAAACCCAACAUAAGCUGGCACGUAAGAAUGAGGAUUGUCGGUUUCAUGAAGUCUACACAGAGGACUCAAAGUCAUGUUCUGGAAAGAAACAAGGUGAGACUGGUAGAGAAGGUUUCUCUAACUGGGCAAGUUCCCCAAGGUUUAAGCCCCAUACAUUCCACCUUUGGAAGUUUCUAGAAGAUACGCUCUAUAAAACAUUGGGAGAAAUCAAGAGGCGGACACAGGACUCAGUCAACGGACUCAGUGUGAGAAGGACUCAGCUUGCUCAGUGACCAAGCUGUGAGCCCACCAAUCCAGGCUGGAGCAGGUCGGGGGAAGGCUGAGAGAGGUUUUCAAGAAGGUGGGGUGGGCAGAACAUCCUCGUUUGAGAGGAUUUACACAAACGGUGGGCAGGAUUGGCAGAAGAACAGUUACGCUGAGACCUGUGCAAACACUAAUAAUAACAGCAACAACGACGAUGAGGGAAACGGUCAGCUUCCAAAGAAACAAAUCCCUAAAUGGAAAAAAGGCAUCAGACUAAAUAUCAUGUCUCAGUUCCGAGGAGAGUUUACACAGUCAUUACAAUACAGCCGUCAAAUACCCAGCCUGGUAAAGUUAUACGUCAGGGUGCUGGCAGGAUGGGGUCUGGGAAACAUGGAUGUAUAUACAGCGGGCCCUGGAAUGUGGGCAGGGUUGGGGGGCUGCUAUGAAUGAAGGCUCGACUCUCCUCUUACACAGCUGGAAGAAACCAGAAAAAAGAUAACGCCUAAAACCCAACAUGUGGUGCCCAGAACUGAACUCCCAGAAGGACUUGGCCAUGGAACCAAGACCCCUCCGUUCUGAACAGAGUCAUUAAAGCAGUGGUUCUAUAAAGGCUGAGUCUUGGCUUUAUUUCAGUACCCCGACUUCCCACCCUUGUAUUCACUGCUACUUUUUGAUUGAGCUGUGCUUACACACACACACACACAAACAACAUAAGACCAUGACAGGUCCAACAACGAAGCUUGGAGACACGGUGAUACAGCCAUAUUUUGGCAAAGACCAUAAAAUUCCCCCUUUUCGCUUCCCUCUGGCCAGCUCUCCCCACCCUCACACCAUCCCAUAAAAGACAGAGCAAUUCACAGAAGAACACAUGGUGACUUUAAGAAAUAAAUGCUCAGAUCACAAAUGUUUCCAUGUAGUGCAAGCAAUAACAUUAGCCCGGCCCCUCUUUUAAUUACAUGGUUUGGCCAUGCAUAUAUUCACAGACAUUUUUAGUAAGGCAGUGGACUUUUAUUUAAACGUGUAAUAUAAAGAGCUCUCCUACAACUGCUGAUCGGCACUUCUUUCUUAUUUAUUGCCUUCCCUUCUCUCAUGCUCCGGUCUUGCCCCAACAAUAAAAUCCCACUUAGCACUUGCUUUUUCCAAAAAAACAUCAUUUUUCACCAUCUUAGGGGUGAAGAAAAGAGGACACAGAGGGGGUUUCUUUCUUUCUUUCUCUCUUUCUUUCCCUUUUUUUAAGAGACUAACAUUCUUCUCUUCUCCCAAAUAUUUAAUCAUAAUUAUAUUAAGAAACAUUUAUAAAAAGUUAAGUAAUAAAAUUAAAUAGGUUGGAGAAAAACAGAGAAGCAGACAGCAAGGAUUAAGUGUAGUAAUAUAAAGGAUAGAUUAUAUUUAAUGAAAAUUUCCUCAGUGUUCAACAUUUUUAUUAUACUUAAUAGAGCUGGGCUUCAUUUUUGUCUCCAGUAAUUGUGUGUCCAUAAUGAAUGGCCAUUCUUAUUCCCCCAUUGAGCCCUGACAGAAAUUAAUAAACCUAAUUCUGUAGGUUUAAGUUUAAUUUUGUUGAAAUAUAUAAAGUAGUUACAUAUUCACUUAGCAGCCAACCGAAAUGCAGCAGCCUUAAGCUUCUCAGCAACUUUAUAACAAGGGAAUUGUUUUCUGGAUCUUUCUCUUCUUGCUCCCUCCUGCUCUGCUGUGAGCCUUGUUUGUGACUCGUCCAGCUCCAGGGGACAUGCGUGGCCACGGGGGGGGAACAGUGGUCCGGGUGAAUGUUGUAGAAGGUACAAUUAUGUGUCUAGUCCUUUUCCAGGAAGAGCUGUUAAUGAUUGCCGAACCAUCUCUUGUCGGUUUACAGUUUGAUCAAGAAAGUAGGUAAUAAAAGAAUGGGGGAUGGGCAGCAGAAUGGGGGAUGAACGCCGAUGGCCAGAGUCCAGAGAGCAUGGAAUCUCCUUUCAGGGCUUCCAUGAGAAACUGGGAAAUUAGAAGGAAUUCAAAGGAGCUGUAUUAACGGGAUCACGUCCGGCCAGUCCGCCAGUAACUGACUAUAAGGUCUUCCUGGAGGAGAAAAGUCAGCCACAUCUGGGGGUCAUCUUUGCCCCCCUCCAGCUCUCCCUCUGUAUCCCUCUCUCCAUCAGUUCAUUCAUACAAACACACACGGGUGUGACUCUAUCACAUAUUCAUUCUCAGUGUAGGAAUACAAUGACCAGCAUCACCCAACGCGAUCCCAAAGCUGAUGGUGUUUCCCAUUAAGGGGUUUUUUUGUUGUUUGCUCUUUAAGGUAAUUCAUAAAUAAAAGUAUGAUUAGGAGAGUUCUGAGGGAAAGGAGACACACAUGUGAGGCUCAAUAAAUGCUCUCCUGGGGAAAUUACAAUAGGGACGAGACCAAGGCAGAGGAGGAAGUGGGCCUGAAAAGGGGGCUGUGGAUGGCGUCCCAGGACGGAGGCCCGCAGAAGGGGCCGCAUGAUGCUCUGAGGACCUGAGAGGGAUGGGGGGGCAGGAGAGGUUGGAGGAUCAAGGGUCUGAGAAGUGGCCCCACGGACCACUCUAAGGAACUGGGUUUUAUUCCCAUCAAAGGGGACAAUCCAAAGGUCCCCCACGGGCGAGACCCUUGCUCAGAGCCACCGU
ensembl:lncRNA